CUACCGACUAACUAGUCCAACAAUAAAAAUCAACAUUUAAGAUACCCCAUAAUAACCUAUAAAAAUUGAAAUAAAACAUUCUUCCCCUUAGUAAAGGAGAUUGAACAGGAACCAGGAACUAUAAAACAAGUACCGCAAGGGAAUGUUGAAAUAGAGAUGAAAAAGCCCAGUCAAGAACCACAAAGCAGAGAUUAAACCUUGUACCUUUUGCAUCAUGAUUUAGCGAGUAUAACUAGGCAAGAAGAACCUUAGUCUAGAACCCCGAAACUAGGUGAGCUACUCCAAGACAGCAUGUAUCUAGUGCCCACCCGUCUCUGUCGCAAAAGAUGUGGGGAGAGCUUUGAGUAGAAGUGAUAAACCAAUCGGACUUAGUUAUAGCUGGUUUUCUGAGAAAUGGAUAUUAGUUCAGCCCUUUAAAUUCUUAAAUCAAAUAGAGUUUAUAAUAUCAAAUAUAAAACACCAAGGAUAAAAAGAAUUUUAAGGAGUAAAUCAGAUGGGGUUCAGCCCCUUUGAUAUAAGAAACAACUUUAUAAAACUAGGUAAAGAUCAAUAUUAACCUAAGGCUAAUUAUCUAGGUAGGCCUGAAAGCAGCCACCCCUUAAGAAAGCGUUAAAGCUCAAAUAAAUUGCCCCUAAUAAUAACGAAAAAUUAUUCUUAACCUGUCACACUUAUCAGAAUAUCUUAUACAAAUAUAAGAGAAACUAUGCUAAUAUUAGUAAUAAGAGACCAGACUCUCUCCAAGCAAAUGUGUAACUUGAAACGGACCUACCAACAAGAAAUAACGGCCCCAAUUCAAUAUAACAGAGGGAAAAGAAAAAUAAAUAAAGAACCAGAAGAAUUUUCUAAAGACACCGUUAACCCUACACUGGAUUGCCCGCAAGGAAAGAUUAAAAGAGAAAGAAGGAACUCGGCAAACCCAAGCCUCGACUGUUUACCAAAAACAUAGCCUCUUGACCCCUACAUAUAAGAGGUAAGGCCUGCCCAAUGAUAUUAAUUUAAUGGCCGCGGUAUUUUAACCGUGCUAAGGUAGCGUAAUCACUUGUCCUUUAAAUGAAGACCUGUAUGAAUGGUUUAACGAGGGCUUGACUGUCUCCUUUCUCAAAUCAAUGAAAUUGAUCUCUCCGUGCAAAAGCGGAGAUGAAAUUAUAAGACGAGAAGACCCUGUGGAGCUUAAGAUAGUUUUAUAUAUUACGCCAAAACACCCCCAUUAAGAGGCGAAAAGCUAAUAAUCCCUGUAACCUAUCUUCAGUUGGGGCGACUAUGGGGCAUACUAAACCCCCACGAAGACUGAGAACAUCUUAAAGGUAACCUUAAUUUUCCCAAAACCUAGAAACACCCUUCAAAAUAAUAGAAUUUCUAACUUUAUUUGAUCCAAUCCGUUGAUCAACGAACCAAGUUACCCCAGGGAUAACAGCGCAAUCCUCUUCCAGAGUCCCUAUCGGCAAGAGGGUUUACGACCUCGAUGUUGGAUCAGGACAUCCCAAUGGUGCAGCCGCUAUUGAGGGUUUGUUUGUUCAACAAUUAAAAGUCCUAGGUGAUCUGAGUUCAGACCGGAGUAAUCCAGGUCAGUUUCUAUCUAUAGUGUGCUUUACUCUAGUACGAAAGGGCCGAGUAGAGGGGGUCCCUACUAAAUGUACACCCUAUUUUUAAUUGUUGAAACCAACUCAAACAACUUUAAAAACACACCACUAAAGCUAAAGAAAAUAGCA
rnacentral:rRNA from 1 species